CGUUACAACAUGGCAUUUGAGAGCUCCAUUUAACACAUACCAUGAAUCCAUUCAAAGGCUGCAUCAAUUCACUUGAUGAGGAAUUGCUUCUUUGAUCAUGUGGAUUGAGCGACAUAAACAAGCUCACUGUCUUUGGGAACCAUGAAACUGGUGGCAGAUAAAAGGCCAAAUGGUACCACUGGGGAGGUGUACGUACCUUUGGGUGAUAAACCCUUAGAAUGGUGGGCAUCCAAAGAGGGCAAUACCAGCUUAUGGGCACAACAACGGCACAACGUGGUAAGUUUGGUUUCUAAUGGUUUUAGUAUCAUCUAUUUCUAUCUACACAAUCAUAAAUCUGUCUUAGGUCUCCAUCGAUGAUUGAUAAGAGGCUAGGAUUAUUAAAAUAAUGUACUUUUUUAACAUUUUGAGAUUGUUGG